UUUUACCGUGAAAGUUUUUUCUCCACUAAACAUUAAUUAGGCAUUACACGAUAUAAAGGAACUUGAUUAACAGGAAAUUAAUGGUAAUCACCAAUAUGUUAUGCGUAUUUUAGGACAACUACGAUCGCUAAGGGACGAGGGGCGGUCUGUGGAUACAUAUAAAUUUGAUUGCUAUCUCGUUAGUCCAUGACGAGCAUAUAUAACCACCAAAUUCUAGUGUUCUAGGCAAUUUGUAUACAUUGUUUGUUGAUGACCCAAAUCGUCACACAAUAAUGGGAUAUCCAGCUAUAUUUUGGUGUCGAUUGUAUUUCCUUUUGAGCAUCUUGAACCUAGCAUUAUAGACUUGUGCGCCCUCAUAUUUGUUGCCUUGUAAGUGGGAGAUAUGUCUUCGAACUACAAACCAAAUGAAAAUGAGGUUAUGUUCAUAGAGUCACUUUAAGUAAUAAAAUAUAAAUCUAAAUAAAAAAUGCAGUGACCUCGAUUGUGUUUCGGUCACAAAACUGAUCAAAAUUAUUUAAUGAAGAUGGUUAUAUGUACAAAGAAACCCUAAUAAUACUCAUAGUUGCACUUAGAUUAUGGCAAAAUUUCCCCACCUGGGCAGCCGUUGCCCCGCCCACCGCAUGCUCCGGACCUUCUUCCCCGCCACACUUCAUUGCCAUGGAAGCCUUCCAGCCAGCAUAUAUCGUCAACAUGGAG
rnacentral:lncRNA from 1 species